UUUUCCACUCUGCUCCUGUCCCAGGGAAAGAGCAGGAAAGUUGGGAAAAGGGUCACUCCACAGAGCAGUGAGAAGUUGCACUUAAUUUGUGAAAGGGGAAGAAAAAAUAAUCUUUCAUCUCUUGGAUGUGUGGGGAGACAGUGACUGGGGACAGAGCACAGAGAUUUGAGCCCCUGGAAGUUCAGCGUGAAAACCUAAUCCCUGAGGAAUUUGCUGUCCUUCCUCCUUGUGGGGUGUGGCUCCUGUGGUCCCCACUUCCUGGUGUUUAUGCCCCUGUGUAGUCCCUUUCUUGGGUGUUGGUGAGACCUGUGACUUACAUUUAACCAGUAGAAUACAUCAAAGGUGAUGAGAAGUCACUUUUGUGGUUAAAUACAGAAUGAGAAGAUUGUAAUGCCCGUCUCUUGCAGGAAGACUCUGUCCCUUGCUGCCUUGUUGAAGUUGGCUGUCAUGUUGUGAGCUGCUCAGUGGAGAGAGUCAUAUGGUAAGGAAUGGAGGGCAGCCUUUGGCACAUAGCAAGAAACUGAGGCUUUCAGUCUGGUCACCCACCGGGACCUGAAUCCUACCAAUCAUCACGUGAACUUGGAAGUGGAUUUUUCCCAAGUUGAGCUCUUAGAUGCAAACCCAGACCUGGCUGACACCUUGACUGAAGGCUUGCAGAGGACCCAAAGCUAUGCCAGGACUGUUGACCAAAAGAAAGCAGGAGAGAAAUGUGUGUUGUCCUAGGCUGCUGACUCUAUGGUAGUCUUGGUAUGCAGCAAUGGAUAAGUAAUGCAUGGGGGUCAGAAAGUGUGAGAUGGGAGCGCAUUGGUUUCCUAGGGCUGUCAUAACUAAGCACUAUAAACUGGGUGACUUAAAACAGCACAAAUCUAUUCUCACAGCUCUGGAGCUAGAAGUCUGAAAUCAAGGUGCGGGCAAGGCCAUGGUCCCUCUGAAGCAUCUAGGGGAGGACCCCUCCUUGCUUCUUCCAGGAUUUGGUAUCUCCAGGCAUUCCUUGGCAUAUGACAACAUCACUCCAGUCUGCCGCUGGCUUCACAUGGCCAUCUUCCCCAUGUAUCUCUGUCUUCUCCUUUUCUUAUAAGGAUAUCAUACAGGAUUAAGGGCCUUCCCUACUCCGUAUCACCUUAUCUUAAUUACGUCUUCAAUGAUCCUAUUUCCAAAUAAGGUCAUUCUGAGGGACAAGGUGUUAGGACUUCACCAUAUUUUUGUUAGCACAUUUCAACCCAUAACAAGAAAAAAAAAAACAAAAAAAAGAGAGAGAGAGAGAGAGAAGAGCUGACAAUUGAAGUAUCAUCUGGAAAACAAGCACCUUCUUGGUGCGCCAGGUGAACAUAUCCAAGCAGUCUGCACAUUCAGAGCAAGGAUGAAUGUCUUUGUAGGUGAGGAUCUCAGAAACUACAGGGAGUGGACCCUUCCCUUCUCUCCAGGAGCUGCUUGAAAUUUGUGAACAAAAGCCUAACUUCACCAGCUGAGAGAAUCCCCAUCCAGAGAAUGGCUUUUUGCACAGCUGCCAAAAGGGUUGUGUGACCUGCCUCAUGGCAGGGGGUGGCCAGAUUAUCCUGUAUUCGAAGUCCUUGUAUUCUAAGAUACUGGAAGGGCCCACAAGCUACAGUACGUUUUCAACUAUGGGCAGCUGCUGCCACCUUGUGCCAGAAAGACUCCAUGGCUAGAGUGACCAGGGACCUCAGAUCAGGACACUGUGAAGGGGCACGUCUAAUAAUUGUUCUGGGGCAGCAGGUGUAAAUCGAGAUUGUCCCAGGCAAACAUAUGGUCACCCCUGGGGAAUGCAAGGGAACAACAGGAUGUGCAAGGAUUUUCCCAAGAAUAAAUAUGAGUUUUCCAA